GACGAACGCUGGCGGCGUGCUUAACACAUGCAAGUCGAGCGGUAAGGCCCUUUCGGGGGUACACGAGCGGCGAACGGGUGAGUAACACGUGGGUGACCUGCCCUCAGCUCUGGGAUAAGCCUGGGAAACUGGGUCUAAUACCGGAUAUGACUUCGCAUCGCAUGGUGUGGGGUGGAAAGUUUUUCGGCUGGGGAUGGGCCCGCGGCCUAUCAGCUGUUGGUGGGGUGAUGGCCUACCAAGGCGACGACGGGCAGCCGGCCUGAGAGGGCGACCGGCCACACUGGGACUGAGGCACGGCCCAGACUCCUACGGGAGGCAGCAGUGGGGAAUAUUGCGCAAUGGGCGGAAGCCUGACGCAGCGACGCCGCGUGGGGA
rnacentral:rRNA from 1 species